UCAGUGUAAAUGACAUAGUUAUCAUCAAAGAUCAGAAUUUAGCAAGGAACCAGUGGAAACUGGGAAGAGUAACAGAAGUAUCUCCUGAUCAUGAUGGCCUAGUAAGAAAGGUUAAGGUCCUGGUUUCAGACUGUAAUCUCGACAACCAGGGAAGACACAUAAAGGCAAACAGGACCAUCAUAGAGAGGCCAGUACAUAGUCUAGUAUUGCUGUUAGAAGGUAAUGCAUAAUAAUAGACCGGAGCAUCCCCGCCAAUUAGCCAAUGUAACAAAACAUAUUAUGUGCUAAUCCUAGUUUUAAGGUACAUACUAAUCUUAAUUUAAGGUAAAUUGUUACACAAUUUAGGGGAGCCAUGUUACUGUGUGUAAAGCGUAUGUACCUCAUGUGAUUAUUCCUCGGCAUAUAUAAGUGAAAUGUUCAAUAGUUUUCUAUUUGCAUGAAAACGUGUAAUAUGUGUGAGUAUCAGUAUUUAAUGCUAUAUUAAGCACCGAAGCCGAUGCUCACUUGUUGGUAGUGUGGGGUUAACCUGCUAGUCGCCUUGGGGCAUCACUCACGGCCAAGUCGCGCUCAGACAAAGACGGGCAGGAUGGUGACCGAGUUCUUACGGUCAUGCCUACCUCAUCAAUAAACGUCAGAGAGAGAA